UUCAGAAUCAGAUCUAUGCUCGUCAUCUUCAUGUUUAAUUCCUGCUGAAAUCAUGAUUUCGUUCUUGAUUUGAAAAAAAACGCGAGAAAUGAAAGGUGUUGCGUAACUCUGCUUUUAGGCAUUUAGCUUGAAGCAACAAAUGGAGAUCAGACCCAUUUUGCUUGCUGUGGAUGUCAUUAGUGUGUGUUUACAUGUUAUUGCAUAUGAUCUUGAAACGAUUCUAGAGACAUUGUUGUGAUUACAA